rnacentral:tRNA from 8 species
GGCGGACGUAGCCAAGUGGAUUAAGGCAGUG